AGGACGAACGCUGGCGGCGUGCUUAACACAUGCAAGUCGAACGGUAAGGCCCUUCGGGGUACACGAGUGGCGAACGGGUGAGUAACACGUGGGUGAUCUGCCCUGCACUCCGGGAUAAGCCUGGGAAACUGGGUCUAAUACCGGAUAGGACUCCUGGCUUCAUGGUUGGGGGUGUAAAGCUUUUGCGGUGUGGGAUGGGCCCGCGGCCUAUCAGCUUGUUGGUAGGGUAAUGGCCUACCAAGGCGACGACGGGUAGCCGGCCUGAGAGGGUGACCGGCCACACUGGGACUGAGAUACGGCCCAGACUCCUACGGGAGGCAGCAGUGGGGAAUAUUGCACAAUGGGCGCAAGCCUGAUGCAGCGACGCCGCGUGAGGGAUGACGGCCUUCGGGUUGUAAACCUCUUUCAAUAGGGACGAAGCGCAAGUGACGGUACCUAUAGAAGAAGGACCGGCCAACUACGUA
rnacentral:rRNA from 1 species